rnacentral:rRNA from 1 species
GACGAACGCUGGCGGCGUGCUUAACACAUGCAAGUCGAACGGAAAGGCCCUGCUUUUGUGGGGUGCUCGAGUGGCGAACGGGUGAGUAACACGUGAGUAACCUGCCCUUGACUUUGGGUUAACUUCAGGAAACUGGGGCUAAUACCGGAUAGGAGCUCCUGCUGCAUGGUGGGGGUUGGAAAGUUUCGGCGGUUGGGGAUGGACUCGCGGCUUAUCAGCUUGUUGGUGGGGUAGUGGCUUACCAAGGCUUUGACGGGUAGCCGGCCUGAGAGGGUGACCGGCCACAUUGGGACUGAGAUACGGCCCAGACUCCUACGGGAGGCAGCAGUGGGGAAUACUGCACAAUGGGCGGAAGCCUGAUGCAGCAACGCCGCGUGCGGGAUGACGGCCUUCGGGUUGUAAACCGCUUUCGCCUGUGACGAAGCGUGAGUGACGGUAAUGGGUAAAGAAGCACCGGCUAACUACGUG